CUGGGGUGCCUGCACCAUGGCCUGGACCCCACUUGUCCUCCUCAGCCUCCUCCUUCACUGCACAGGAUCCCUCUCCCAGCCUGUGCUGACUCAGCUGCCCUCUGCAUCUGCCUCCCUGGGAGCCUCGGUCAAGCUCACCUGUACCCUGAGCAGUGGGUACAGCAACUAUGGCAUUGCAUGGCUCCAGCAGCAGCCAGGGAAGGCCCCCCGGUACUUGAUGUGGCUUAAGAGUGAUGGAACCAGCAACAAGGGGGACGGGAUCCCUGAUCGUUUCUCAGGCUCCAGCUCUGGAGUUGACCGCUACCUAACCAUCUCCAACCUCCAGUCUGAGGAUGAGGCUGACUAUAUCUGUGGCGCAGAUUACAACGUUGGUGGUUCAUAUGGGUGGGGCACAGUGAUCUAG